rnacentral:rRNA from 1 species
CAUCCAGAGAAUUUAGCAGAGAUGCUUUAGUGCCUUCGGGAACUCUGAGACAGGUGCUGCAUGGCUGUCGUCAGCUCGUGUUGUGAAAUGUUGGGUUAAGUCCCGCAACGAGCGCAACCCUUAUCCUUUGUUGCCAGCACGUAAUGGUGGGAACUCAAAGGAGACUGCCGGUGAUAAACCGGAGGAAGGUGGGGAUGACGUCAAGUCAUCAUGGCCCUUACGAGUAGGGCUACACACGUGCUACAAUGGCGCAUACAAAGAGAAGCGACCUCGCGAGAGCAAGCGGACCUCAUAAAGUGCGUCGUAGUCCGGAUUGGAGUCUGCAACUCGACUCCAUGAAGUCGGAAUCGCUAGUAAUCGUAAAUCAGAAUGUUACGGUGAAUACGUUCCCGGGCCUUGUACACACCGCCCGUCACACCAUGGGAGUGGGUUGCAAAAGAAGUAGAUAGCUUAACCUUCGGGAGGGCGUUUACCACUUUGUGAUUCAUGACUGGGGGUGAAGUCGUAACAAGGUAAGCGUAGUGCU